rfam:Pseudomonas fluorescens Pf-5, complete genome.
AUAACAAGAAUAAAAAGCAGCAAACCUAAUAAAAAUAAGACGUAACGACUCUGAGAUAACAAAAACAACACGGCAGAGACGCAGCUAACAGAUUUUUUUGGAGAGGAUGCACUGUGCAGGAGGGCUUGCAAGAGCCACCCGCAACCGGUCAGAGAACAAUAAAACUACCCUGAGGUAGCUCCCGAACUGGUUGGAUCGCCCUGGCGACACAUUGAAUCAGCGCUCAAAAAAAUACGUUUGCUCUUGAUCCCGGAUGGGGAUCGCCAAAAACAGCAGUAAAGGGCAACGGUUGCCAAAAACAACAAUAGACCGCCCCUCAAUAAUAAAAAAAGAGCACGCAACGACAAAAUUAAAGGGGAGCUUCGGCUCCCCUUUGUGCUUUCUGCGAUCCCUCUUUGCUGCCCAU